CCUAGUUGAUCCUGCUAGUAGUCAUAUGCUUGUCUCAAAGAUUAAUCCAUGCAUGUUUAAGUAUGAACUAAUUUAGGCUAUGAAACUGCGGAUGGCUCAUUAAAUCAGUUAUAGUUUUUUUGAUGGUACCAUACUACUCAAAUAAUCAUAGUAAUUAUAGAGCUGAUAUGUGCACCAAGUCCCUACUCUUUGGAAGGGAUGCAUUUUUUAGAUAAAAGGCUGGCGCGGGCUUGCCCUCUUCUCCGGUGAAUCAUGAUAACUCGACGGAUCACAUAGCCUUUGUGUUGGUGAUGCUUCAUUCAAAUUUCUACCCUAUCAACUUUCGAUGGUAGGAUAGAGGCCUACCAUGGUGGUGAUGGGUGACAGAGAAUUAGGGUUCGAUUCUGGAGAGGGAACCUGAGAAACAACUACCACAUCCAAGGAAGGCAGCAGGUGCGCAAAUUACCCAAUCCUGACAUGAAGAGGUAGUGAAAAUAAAUAACAAUACUGGGCUCAUUAAGUAUGGUAAUUGGAAUGAGUACAAUCUAAAUCCCUUAACGAAGAUCCAUUGGAGGGCAAGUCUGGUGCCAGCAGCCACAGUAAUUCCAACUCCAACAGCGUAUAUUUAAGUUGUUGCAGUUAAAAAGCUCAUAGUUGGAUCUUGGAUCAUAAAGGUCGAUCUACCUACUCGGUGUGCACCUGCCCUUCCAUCCCUUUUGUCAAUGGCAUGCUCUUGAGCUUAAUUGGUUGGGUCGUGACUCUGGUGUUGUUACUUUGAAAAAAUUAGAGUGCUCAAAGCAAUCUUAUGCUCUGAAUACAUUAGCAUGAAAUAACGUGAUAGGAGUUUGGUCCUAUUGUGUUGGCCUUCGGUACCAAAGUAAUGAUUAAUAGGGAUUGUCAAGGGCAUUCGUAUUUCAUUGUCAGAGGUGAAAUUCUUGGAUUUAUGAAAGAUGGACCACUACGAAAGCAUUUGCCAAGGAUGUUUUCAUUAAUCAAGAAUGAAAGUUGGGUGCUUGAAGAUGAUCAGAUACCGUCCUAGUCUCAACCAUAAACGAUGCCGACCAAGGAUCGACGGAUGUUGCUCUAAGGACUCCAGUAGCACCUUCUAAGAAAUCAAAGUGUUUGGGUUUCGGGGGGAGUAUGGUUGCAAGGUUGAAACAUAAAGGAAUUGAUGGAAGGGCACCACCAGGAGUGGAGCCUGUGGCUUAAUUUGACUCAACACAAGGAAACUUACCAAGUCCAAACAUAGUAAGGAUUGACAGAUUGAGAGCUCUUUCUUGAUUCUAUGGGUGGUGGUGCAUGGCCAUUGUUAGUUGGUGAGCAAUUUUUCUAGUUAAUUCCGAUAACAAAAAAGACCUCAGCCUACUAACUAGCUACGCAAAGGUUCCCCUUCAUGGCCAGCUUCUUAGAGGGACUAAGGUUGUUUAGGCCAUGGAAGUUUGAGGCAAUAAUAGGUCUAUGAUGCCCUUAGAUGUUCUAGGCCACACGCAUGCUACACUAAUGCAGCCAACAAGUUUUUCUUCAUGAUUCAAGAGGACUGGGAAAUCUUCUCAAAUUGCAUUGUGAUGGGGAUAGACCAUUGCAAUUAUUGGCCUUCAACGAGGAAUUCUUAGUAAGCGCAUGUCGUCAACUCGUGUUGACUACUUCCUUGCCCUUUGUACACACUGCUCGUCGCUCCUACCAAUUGAAUGAUUUAGUAAAGUGUUCAGAUUGUGUCGAUGAUGGUGGUUUGUCGCCGUCGACAUCAUGAGAAGUUCAUUGAACCAUAUCAUUUAGAGGAAGGAUAAGUUGUAACAAGGUUACCAUAGGUGAACCUGUGGUAG
rnacentral:rRNA from 1 species